GAUGAACCCUAAAAAGUUCUGAAAGCACAAAGGUUUGGUCCUAGCCUUAUUAUCAGUUGUCUCUCAACUUACACAUGCAAGUCUCAGCACCCCCGUGAGGAAGCCCUUAAACCCUACCCCAGGAUAAGGAGCCGGUAUCAGGCUCAACUCUUUGCCCAUGACACCUAGUUUCCACCACGCCCCCAAGGGUAAUCAGCAGUGAUAAACAUUAUUUAUAAGCGACAGCUUGACUUAGUUAGAGAGAACAUAGUUGGCCAAUAUUGGUGCCAGCCGCCGCGGCUAGACCCUAUUGAACUAGAAUUGAUAGUCGUCGGCGUUAAGCGUGAUUAAAGCCAUUCCCACAUUAGAGUAAAACUCCUGCCCAGCUGUAAAAAGCAUGCAUUGCAGAAUCACAUGAACGAAAGUCACUCUAACUUAUGCUUGAACACACGACAGCUAGGAGCACAAACUGGGAUCAGAUACCCCACUAUGCCUAGCCGUAAAUUAUUAACUCACAACCACAAACGCCUGGGAACUACGGGCUUAGCCUAAAACCCAAAGGACUUGACGGUGUCCCACCCGACUAGAGGAGCCUGUUCUAUAAUCGAUAACCCCCGCUAAACCUGACCUCUUUUUGUUUCCAGCCUGUAUACCUCCGUCGUAAAUCUGCCUUGUGAAUGCUUAAUAGCGUGAUUCAAUGCCCUUCCGCCAAAACGUCAGGUCAAGGUGCAGCCUAUAAAGAGGGAAGCAAUGGGCUACAAUUUCUAGCUUAGAACAAACGAACUUACUGCAUGAAACUUAGUUAUGAAGGAGGAUUUAGUAGUAAAGAGAAAUCAACAUGUUCUCUUAAAUAUGGCCCUGGGACACGUACACACCGCCCGUCACCCUCCUCGAAAAUAUAUCUAUUCUGGUUAUCUAACACAAAAUAACAAAUAAAGAGGAGGCAAGUCGUAACAUG
rnacentral:ncRNA from 1 species